AAAUUUUUCUGCCUUUUUCUACCAGUUAUCAAAAAGAAGCCUAGCAGAACCAAGUUGGAUUCAUUAAAAAGAAAAAAUCAUGAAGGCAAUAAGUUUUAAGGUACACAGGACCAGAUGCAGUCAAGGAGGAAUAUACAGAAGACUUCUUCUGAAUGGAUGAUGUCUGUUUCUUAAGCUUGGUGUUCUAUUUCACAUACUUACUGUCAUAUGGCGCUGUGCCUGGGGCGUGGAGAUAAGUCCUCGUAAACUCUGGCAUCUAUCCCAUGGUCAUGGGAUAAGCCUGGGCCUUGGACGUGGAUUCAGAGCCGUCACCAAGGAAUCAGUCCGACAGACCAUCUCCUCGGCAACUGACUGCUUUUGGGAGGUCUGAGGUCUUCUGCCAGCCUUCAGUAGGUGUUCUGUAGGAGUUGUUCCACGUGUAGAUGUAUUUCUGGUGUAUCUGUGGGGAGGAAGGUGAUCUCCGCGUCUUACUCUUCCACCAUCUUCCCGACUAUUCCCACAUCUAAAUCUUGAGCAAACAAGUAGAAAUAAACUGGCUGGAUCAAAUGGCAAAUGCAUGUUUAAAUUCUUAAGAAAUUGCCAAAGUAUUUUCCAAAGCAGUUGUAUCAUUUUAUAUUCUCACCAGUAAGUUCUGGUUACUCCACAUCCUUAACAACACUUGGUAUGGUGAUUUUUAAAAAUUGUACCCAUUUGAAUAGCUGAGUAGUGAUAUCUCAAUGUGGUAGUACUUUGCAUUUUCCCAAGGGAAAAUGAUGUUUUACAUCUUUUCACAGGGUUAUUUGCAAUAUCUUCUUUACCCAGUUUUUUCCUUUUGUUCCUUGUGCCACUUCUAAAGAACAGAAUAGGACAGAGAGAUAAAAUGUCACUUUUAAGAUUAUGUUAUAAAUGACUGUGACAUUCAUCCUACUUGACUCUUUGCUCUCUCUCGCUUGCUCUGAUAGAAGCUGUUAUGGUGUGAACUGCCUGACGGAGAGGCCCACUUGGGCACCAAGGGCCAGCAUGGAACUAGGGCCCCUCCAGUCCAACAAGUAAUAGGAAACUGAAUCUUGCUAACAAGCACAUUUGUGAGACUGGAAGCAAAUCCCUCCCCAGUUGAGCCUUGAGAUGAACGUAACCUCAGCUAGCAUCUUCACUGCACCCUUGUGAAAGGCCAAGUUUUACCCACUUGAGCCACAUCCAGAUUCCUGACACACAGAAACUGUGAGACAGUAAAUAAUUGUUGCUUUAAAGCACUAUAUUUUGGAGUAAUUUGUUACACAGCAACAGACAGGUAAUAUAGCAUCUAUUGGGAUGAUUGUAUGGCCUUUCCUUUUAAGCUGAUUAUAUGGCAAUUUACAUUGCUUGACUUUUUAAUGUUUAAACUUCUCUGCAUUCCUAGGAUAAACACCACUUGAUUAUGUUUUAUCCUUUUUGUAUAGCAUUAGUUUUGACUUGUUAAAUUUUUGCUAAGAAUUUUAGUAUCAUGUUCAUGAGGGAUACUGGUGCAUAAUUUUUUUUUAUUAAUUAAUUUAUUUUUAGCUGUUUUGGGUCUUUGUUGCUGUGUGCAGGCUUUCUCUAGUUGCAGCGAGCAGGGGCUACUCUUCGUUGUGGUGCAGGGGCUUCUCAUUGUGGUUGCUUCUCUUGUUGCGGAGCAUGGGUUGUAGAUGCACGGGCUUCAGCAGUUGUGGCUUGCAGGCUACAGAGCACAGGCUCAGCAGUUGUGGCACACGCGCUUAGUCGCUCUGCAGCAUGUGGGAUCCUCCUGGACCAGGGCUCGAACCCGUGUUCCCUGCAUUGGCAGGCGGAUUCUUAACCACUGCGCCACCAGGGAAGUCCACUGGUGCAUAAUUUUCUUUUCUUGUAUUGUUUUUGUCUUAUUUUGAUUAAUAUUGGACAGAAUUGAGCCUGGGGUUUUCUUUAGGAGAUAUAAGGAUAUUUGGGUUAUUUCUUUCUUCUUGUGUAAGUGUUGGCAGUUUGUGUAUUUCAAGGAAUUUGUCCAUUUAAGUUGUUAAACAUAUGAGCAUAUGAUCAUAAGGUUGUUCAUAAUAUUGCUUUAUUGUCCAUUUAAUGGCUAUAGGCUCUGUAGUUAUGUUGCCUCUCUUUCUUUAUAUUAGUUAAUUUGCAUCUCCUCUUUCUUUCCUGAUCUAUCUGGCAAGAGAGUUGUAAAUUUUAUUGACCUUCGCAGAAAACCAAAUUUUGAUCUCAUUUCCUACAUUGUUUUUGUUUUCUAUACCACUGCUUUCUCACAUCAUCUUUAUUUCUUUACUUUUUACCUUGGGUUUGUGGACAUUAUUGAUUUAAUAUCUUUCUUCUUUUUAAGAUAGGCUUUGUAGGGCUAAAAAUUCCCUUUCAAGCACUGUUUAUAUUGCAUCUCACAAAUCUGGAUAUAUUGUGUUGUCAUUUUUAUUCUGCUCAAAAUAUUUUCUAACUUUCUGGUAUUUCUUAUAUCAUACCUAUUGGGUUUUAGUAUCAAGGCUAUGCUAAUCUCAUAAAAUUAGGUGGAGAAUAUUUUCCUUUAGAAGAGUCUGUAAGGUUGGGAUUAUUUGAUCCUUAAAUAUUUGAUAGACUAUAACUGUGAAUUAUAACUGUAUCUGUGAAUUUUAUUUUGUGUUUUCAAAAUAUGCAUAAUUUUAUUAUUUGUUAAACAGAUACUCAGAAAAAUCCAUGCAUUUUUUUGGUGAUGAAAAGGCUAUGAUUAUUUUGUACAUAAACAAUCACCAACCUUACCACAAAAAUAUAAUAACAUAUACUAAACCAAAGAAGAAGAGAAAUCUUCAUUGAGUUUUAUAAUUUUUGGUCAUUUGAGUCACUACAAUGUAAACUAACCACUGUAACAUAAGAGAUACAAUAUUAUUCACUAUAUACAUGAGUUUCUCAUAGCCACAAGUAUUCGAUUCCACAAAUCACUGAAAAGUUUAAAUGCAUAAAUAACACUCUAUUUGGUAGUAGCUACUUCCAUAGGGAAUUUUGGACGGGCUAUCUAACAUUCAUUCUUUAAAACACCCUCAAGUACGAAACUACUCUUGCUACUGGGAAAAUCAGACACACACAAAACCAAUUUACCACGAUAGGCUUCAAUCUGGGCCAUGAGAAAAGUCUCAAUGAAUUUAACAGGUUUUAAGUCAUAUAAAGUAUGUUCUGUGACAACAAUGGAAUUAAACUAGAAAACAAAAACAGAAAGGUAUCCGGAAAUCCCUAAAUACUGGGAAGCUGAAUAGCACACCUCUAAAUAUCUCAUGGGUCAAAGUAGAAAUCAAAAAGCAUUCUUACACAUAAUAAUGAAGUGUUGAGGGGACUUCCCUGGUGGUCCAGUGGUUAAGAAUCCACCUUCCAAUGCAGGGGACGUGGGUUUGAUCCCCGGUCAGGGAAGUAAGAUCCCACAUACCACAGGGCAACUAAGCCCGUGUGCUCUGGAGCCUGCACACCACAACUAGAGAGCCUGCACUCCACAACUACUGAGUCCACACCCUCUGAAGCCCACACACCACAACUAGGGAGAAGCCCACACGCUGCAACGAAGACCCCAUGCGUCGCAAUGAAAAAUCCCACAUGCUGCAACGAAGAUCCC